rnacentral:rRNA from 1 species
GACGAACGCUGGCGGCGUGCCUAAUACAUGCAAGUCGAACGCUUCUUUCCUCCCGAGUGCUUGCACUCAAUUGGAAAGAGGAGUGGCGGACGGGUGAGUAACACGUGGGUAACCUACCCAUCAGAGGGGGAUAACACUUGGAAACAGGUGCUAAUACCGCAUAACAGUUUAUGCCGCAUGGCAUAAGAGUGAAAGGCGCUUUCGGGUGUCGCUGAUGGAUGGACCCGCGGUGCAUUAGCUAGUUGGUGAGGUAACGGCUCACCAAGGCCACGAUGCAUAGCCGACCGGAGAGGGUGAUCGGCCACACUGGGACUGAGACACGGCCCAGACUCCUACGGGAGGCAGCAGUAGGGAAUCUUCGGCAAUGGACGAAAGUCUGACCGAGCAACGCCGCGUGAGUGAAGAAGGUUUUCGGAUCGUAAAACUCUGUUGUUAGAGAAGAACAAGGACGUUAGUAACUGAACGUCCCCUGACGGUAUCUAACCAGAAAGCCACGGCUAACUACGU